AGGCGCGAAAGCGUGGAGAGCGAACAGGAUUAGAUACCCUGGUAGUCCACGCCGUAAACGAUGAGUGCUAAGUGUUAGAGGGUUUCCGCCCUUUAGUGCCGCAGCAAACGCAUUAAGCACUCCGCCUGGGGAGUACGGCCGCAAGGCUGAAACUCAAAGGAAUUGACGGGGGCCCGCACAAGCGGUGGAGCAUGUGGUUUAAUUCGAAGCAACGCGAAGAACCUUACCAGGUCUUGACAUCUCCUGACAACCCUAGAGAUAGGGCGUUCCCCUUCGGGGGACAGGAUGACAGGUGGUGCAUGGUUGUCGUCAGCUCGUGUCGUGAGAUGUUGGGUUAAGUCCCGCAACGAGCGCAACCCUUGAUCUUAGUUGCCAGCAUUCAGUUGGGCACUCUAUGGUGACUGCCGGUGACAAACCGGAGGAAGGUGGGGAUGACGUCAAAUCAUCAUGCCCCUUAUGACCUGGGCUACACACGUGCUACAAUGGAUGGUACAAAGGGCUGCGAGACCGCGAGGUUAAGCGAAUCCCAUAAAACCAUUCUCAGUUCGGAUUGCAGGCUGCAACUCGCCUGCAUGAAGCCGGAAUCGCUAGUAAUCGCGGAUCAGCAUGCCG
rnacentral:rRNA from 1 species